CACACACACACACACACACACACACACACGCAGGCACACCCUGUUCUCCACGAUUCCCGAGCACCUCACAGCGCUCAGCUGAAGGCCGGGAAGAGGCUCGGGCCAACAGGAGCGGGUCUCGGGCCCUUUGCGGAACCUGCGCUCGCCGAGCGGAGCGUGCACGUGCGCGUCUCCCGAGCACUCACAGCGCCGCCCGGCAGCCAGUGCCGCCGGCGCCAUUGGGAAGUGAAACGCGGGGCUGGGCGGCGGCCUCGUGCAAGCGGCCGGAAAAAAUCGGCGGCUUGCUCUGAUUAAAGAAACAAACGAAAGAGAGUGAGAAGGAAGGUGGACAAUAUACCUGCCCCACCCCCUACCAGUUUACUAAAGACAAGAAAAAAAAGAUAUGUGAGAUUUGAAGGGGAAGAAUGUGAGGAGUUCUGCCUCUAUUCUUUCCCCAUUUAGGUUAUUACAAAGUAUUGAGCAGAGUUCUCUGUUAUGCAGAGGUAGCUGUCGUUUUCCUGGCACCACUUAUUGAAGAGACAGACUUUCCUUCAUUGUAUAGACUUGUCCUGUUUUGUCAUGCAUUAACUGACCCUACGUGUGAGGGUUUCUAUCCUGGGCUUUCUAUCCUGUUCCAUUGAUUUCUGUUUGUGUUUUUGUGCCAAUACCAUACUGUUUUGAUGACUGUUGCUUUGUAGUAUAGUCUAAAUUCAAGGAACCUGAUUCCUCCAACUCCAUAUUUCUUUAUCAAGAUUGCUUUGGGCAUUUGGGUUCUUUUGUGUCUCCAUAUAAAUUUAAAAAAUUUUUGUUCUAGUUCUGUGAAAAAUGCCAUUGGUAAUUUGAUAGAGAUUGCUCUGAAUCUGUGAUUGCCUUGGAUAGUAUAAUCAUUCUGACAACAUUGAUUCUUCCAGUCCAAGAACAUGGUAUAUUUUUCCAUCUGUGUCGCCUUUGAUUUCUUUCAUCUUAUAGUUUUCAGAGUAUAGGUCUUUUGUCUCCUCAG
ensembl:lncRNA